AUUUUUUUAUGUGGAUACUGUAUUUAUUUACUUUUUUUAAAGAGAUUGUAUAAUACUUGCGCACUCUAUGACUGGAAAUAUUAUUUAUCAUACAACAAUACCUGCCAAAAACCAAGAAGCGGGUCCAAAAAUUAUAGGCAAAAAGCUUCUCAUGGGCCUUAAAAAAGAGGAUUUUAUAAUAUAAAUGGUACAUGUCGUUGACCACUUAUAUAUAAAGAGAAAUUGAUACUUUAAUAGAGAUAUGAUAUAAUUCUGAUGGUCUAAUUUUUCCUCAUUGCCGCCAAAUGUUGUGUUAUCCCAAUCAUAGGUAUAAUCUAGAUUUCAAAAGCGAGCUUUCUCGCCCCCACCAUGUUUCCACGCCGCCAAGAAAUUUCCGACCAACACAUUUUAAACAUAAAUAAACUAAAAAUUCCCAAGCUACAAGGCAUGCAACGAUGUGGCAGAUUUUGAUUGUUUCAUUGCUAGGGCUAAAGUAGCUGAAAAUGACCCAUUGAUUCGAAAGUUAAUGUAAUGUCAAUAAAAAAUAAAUAUACCUUUUUGUCCUCGUCUUUCCAACGUGUGUUGUAGAUUUCUUGUUUCCUCUGCCAUGAUGUAUUUUUCAUGACACGAAAUAAUUAUGUUGACCCAUAAAUAACCACAUUAUUACUCACGUCUGUUUUUCUGUCUCAGCAAACUUGCCAUAGAUUAUAAGGAAAAAAAUGAACAUUUGGUUGGACGUUGCUUUUCGCAUAUCCCCUAGCCAGCCAUGAUCCUGAGCCUUUGCUCCACUAGUUUUAGACUUUUGCUAUGCCAUAUCGACAACAAAUGAGGCUUACAUGCCGUUGUUGUUGAACGACGUGGGUGGCUCUUGCAUGAAAUCUAUUUUCGCUGCCUCUCUAUUUGUAUGUUUUACUAAUAACAAGACGGCUAUCGAGUGAUGAGGAUUAAUCGUAGUUGGGGCAUGGAGCAGUGGUUGGCCAUGCAUUGUGGAGACAAUAGAGAUUGAGAGGAGGAGCAAACAUCUCAAGAUCUCGAGACUUUAGAAAUGGAACGUGAAAAUAUGAAAAAUCCUAGCUUCUAAACGCAAUUUAUUUAAAACUCUAGUAACAAACAAGACAUCUUUUUAUUCAA